GAAAGCACCUGGCAGGGGAGGUACCAUGAUCAUGAAGGUGGUUUUCCCAGGGGGAGGCUCAUCCAUUGCACUCCGGAUGUGCUGACCCCUGAGAUUUCCCUAGAUAUGGGAAACUGGACUGCAUAAUUUGUGGUAGUGGGAGACUGCAUUUGUGCUUUCCCCUC
ensembl:snRNA U1 U1 spliceosomal RNA